GACGAACCGUGCAAACGUUAUUCGGAAUCACUGGGCAUAAAGGGCGCGUAGGCGGCUUUCUAAGUCAGGGGUGAAAUCCGGCAGCUCAACUGUCGCAGUGCCUUUGAUACUGGAGAGCUCGAGGGAGGUAGGGGUCUGUGGAACUUCCGGUGGAGCGGUGAAAUGCGUUGAUAUCGGAAGGAACGCCGGUGGCGAAAGCGACGGACUGGAUCUCUUCUGACGCUGAGGCGCGAAGGCGUGGGGAGCGAACGGG
rnacentral:rRNA from 1 species